AGCAGCCGCGGUAAUUCCAGCUCCAAUAGCGUAUAUUAAAGUUGUUGCAGUUAAAAGCUCGUAGUUGAAUUUCGGGUCAGUAGAUUGGUCGUGCCACUGGUAUGCACUGGUCUUACUGGCUCCUCCCUCCUGAUGAACCGUAAUGCCAUUAAUUUGGUGUUGCGGGGAGACUGGACUGUUACUUUGAAAAAUUAGAGUGUUUAAAGCAGACUAACGCUUGAAUACAUUAGCAUGGAAUAAUGAAAUAGGACGUUCGAUCUUAUUUGUUGGUUUCUAAGAUUGACGUAAUGAUUAAUAGGGAUAGUUGGGGCAUUAGUAUUCAAUUGUCAGAGGUGAAAUUCUUGGAUUUAUUGAAGACUAACUACUGCGAAAGCAUUUGCC
rnacentral:rRNA from 1 species